AUGAGAACCUGGUGCAGGUGGAAGGAAAGGGGACCCCACAGGGAAGGUAGAAGGGCCAGGGCUUUCCCCAGCAGUGGCCAGAUCUGAACAGAGAUGACUCUGUGUUGCUGUGGCCACUCCAGACCCCAGACCGCAGCCUGAUAUCCAAGCUCCCGAGGGAGCAGAAUGCAUCAGCCACCUCAGAGAGGAGGCGCAGCCCAGUCAGGGCCCCACGUUGUCACGGCUCCAGCUGUCCUCAGGAGGGAAACUGUCUUGCAAGCCUGGAGACUUCUGGUUGCUUCUCGGAGGAAAGCCCUGUCACCUCCUCACCACCGUCCCAUAAGACGGGACCCUGCGAGGCAGACGCAGCCUGCACACAGAGGAGGGAGGGGAGGCUGCUGGGGCUCCGGCCUGUGCUUUCGCCUCCAGACCAUGGAGCUUCUUCACCCACAUGCUGGGUGCCGUCCAGCCUGAGGCCUGUGUGCAGGGUCCCGGUUUCAAGCCCCGAUUCCCACCUGCUAACUGUGACCCAGGAAGCCCCACCCCCCGCAGCCCUCAGUUUCUUCACCUGCCAAACUCCCUGCCUUCGAGGUGAGAGAUUACGUAAGUAAGGUAAAGCUUAUUCUUCGAUACCGUUCUCUUACUCUGUCAAUGCUUUGAGCAGGGUUCCCUGGAGAAACUGGCCCCAAAGCGUGGGCCCAGACACUGGUCUUGAUGGGCUGGCUGAGGCGGGAGCUCCGUCUCAUGGGAGUGGAUGGGAGUGGCAGGCAGGUGGGUGGCACCUUCUGUGGAGCGGGGGCCAGUCGGCAGCUUAAACGAGGGCAGAGAGAGCUGUCUAGGGAGGUCCAAUGGGGCUUCACUUUUCUCAGGAAUCUCAGGGUCUCCAAGCCCCCACUCUAGGGUGGCAUGAGUUUGGGGGGUUCCUAAAGGAAGUCCCCUGUGUCUGGGUGUGCCUGGGUGGCAGUGUAGGGGCAGGUGUGGUGCCCACAUUGUCCAUAUGUCCUCACCCGCCCCAGGCCCCAGGCCCUCUGCCUCAGGGUGGGGCCGCAGCUCAGCUUUGAUGCCCCUGAGGGCCUGCCUGCCGGAACUGCUGUUUCAGGCAGGAGGUGGGAGGACGCAAUGCAGGCGGGGUUGCCCAACCAAAACACCCUCAGCCCAAUUCCUCCCACAGGCCUCCUGGAACCCGCAUUUCUUCAGUGGAGUCACAGCUUUUUGGGCUAUGGCUCCUCUUUUCAGUUCUUUUUCUUUAUAACACAAAGACACCAUGAGAGAGGCCGUACUUCACAAUCCCCAAGUGUUAGAAGGCAGAGGGUCUUCCAGACAGCCACCACCAGGCCUGUGCUUUACAGAGGAGGAAGCUGAAAGGACUGGUCCAAGACCACACAGCGGGGAGCAGGUGGCAGCACGGACGCUCGAAGCUUGGUCUCUCGCUGUGGAGUUUUCUCUCGCCUGUCUCUACCGCUAUCAUCCUAAUACUGAAGCAUCAGGUCCUUUUUCAAGACACCACCAGCUACAAGCAGAGGGCAAGCCUGGGGCUGAGAAGCACUGUGGGGAGGAGGGGUGGAGCUGGGAGAGGGUCACGGGAGUCAGGGGCCAGGGAAAGCUGCCAAGCAGAGACAGCCUCUCCUGCCCCUUUCCCAGGGCUGACUCAGCACCUUACGCGUGAGGAUUUGUCAUCAACAACUGACCCCAAAAGCCAUGGUGCCCUGGGGUUGGUGUCCCAGUGAUGCUUUUCUGACUCGUGGCCCAGGAUGACACAAAGCCCCAAGGGACAAGCCAGAGAUCCCACUGGCCCAGCCAGAUGCUCCAAGAUUCCUUUUGCCUGUAACCCAGAACUGGCCCACCCUCUUGCCUGGUUACUGGGGCUUUCACGAAAGAGCAAUGGACAGUGGGAAGGGCUCGCUGUGAGGCAGGAUCAGUCCUGGGGCCCUGGGAGUGUCUCUUCCCUUCCCCGAGCCUCAGUGUUCUUGUCUGUACAAUGGAAGUUCAGGUCAGAUGGUCUCUGGAUUCCUUCCCAGCUCUGAGAACCAGGUUCUACCUCAGCUGUUCUCAGAAAGGACAGGGUGGUCCGGGCUGGGCAUGGGCUUGAGGCUUGUGCCCCUCUCCUAGCCCCAAGGACUUCCCAUCCUUUCAGGUCCCGCUGGGGCUCAGCUGCCCAACUCUGAUCAGAAAGAAGAGCUGUAAGUCUGGCUGGGCGGUGGCUCAUGCCUCUAAUCCCAGCACUUUGGGAGGCCAAAGAGGAUGGACUGCUUGAGCCCAGGAGUUCGGGACCAGCCUGGGAACCCUCUCAUGGGACAGCUGGACACAGCCAGGCGGGAAGGACUCUUCACCAGCCCCGUCUCCAUAGUCCCGGCUGCCAUCACUGCUGGCAUCGACACUGACCCUCCAGCUCCAGCACCAGGUCACCACCCUGCCCCUCAUCCAUCCUCCUCCUCCACGCGUGAUGAAUGAGCUUUUCUCAUUCAAUCAUUCUCAGGGGCAGCAUAGCGUGGCCAGUAGGAAGGAGGAUGCGGGAGCCAGCCUGCCUGGCUCCACCACCCACCAGCUGCUUUUAUUCCCUGCCUGCUCUAGUUCCCUGGCUGUAAAAUGGGGAUACAAAUAAUAUCUUCCUCAUCAGGUCACUGGGAGGCUUAAAUAAGCCCAUACUGUAAAGUGCUUAGAACAGGGCCUGCCACGUAGUAAGUACUCCAUAAUUGCUAUCAUUCAUCCAUUCAUUCAUUCAUUCAUUCAUUCGUGAAUUCUAUCCUGCCUGUUUCUGAAAGAGUUGAGAUGACUCACAGUGGAAAUGCAAUGAUAACAGGCCUUUAAAUUCAGAUUAAAAGAACACAAGCCUAGGCUGCAGAGGAGAGAGUGUCCCAGAAUCUGAGCCAAGCAAGCCUCACCUGAAUACAACCUCCCGGCGUCUCAUCCAAAACAUAAAGGUUGCUGGUAUCAAUUCUCCUUUUCUGAUGAAAGGAAGCAUAACAGCUUUCCAGCGGAAUAGAAGAUUUUUUUUUGGUUCAAACUUUAUGAAUGACAUUAAACAAUGCAAUGAGUAGCCUCCCCCUCACCUCACCCUGUCCGCCUUUUUAAUCAACUCCUGAGAAAUGGGGUCUGCUCUUCUUCCCAUCCCACUCCCCAUCUCCAGACCCUGCGGAAGCCUGUGGUCCUGGAGAGCCUGAGAGCCCUCAGAGCGAUACCUUCAGCUAUCCCAGGAGAAGGACACUCUUCGCUUUCAGCACCAGGGGAAAACUAGGAAAAAGCCAAGCCACUGAGUCAAUGAGGGCCUUCCCUCAGCUGCAGACAGCAAGCCCCUUCCAGGCGCUUCCCCGCAGCUACGGCAGCAAGUGCCCCAGGGGCAGGGCCGGGAAUGCUCACUGAGAAAUCCCAGAGCUGCCUGCACUUCCUCUCACCGGCUUCCCCUUCUCUCAGCAGCCACAGGCACGGGAAAGCUGCUGAUUCCCGGAGGACCACUUACACCAAGCACUGUGAGCUGAUCGAUGGCAGAGUCUCUCCAGCUCAUGAGUCUUCAGUGACUCCCCAUUGUCCAUGGAAAACAGAAGACACCUGAGGCCUUGCACAGUGGACCUUAUUCUCAUCCCUCCCUCAGGAGAAUCCUCUGCCUCGAGCCGAAGGCCGUGGGCUCUGCAGACUCCAGGCCUCUCCUUCCCAGGGCGGUCUUCCCUUUCCCUAUGCUCAAGGCACAGCCCAAGUCCCACCUCCUCCAUUGCAAGGGACACCACCCUCUGAAUUCCUGUUGGGGAAAGAGCCUAGUUUUGCAGCCAGAUAGGCCCGAGUUAGAGUCUCAGCUCAGUUCCAAUCCCAUUAGCUGGUUGCAAGUCAUUAACUUUGUCAACCUUCAGUAAAUGGAAAUCAGGCCCACACUGUAGGUGCCUGGGGGUGCUGAUGGUUGAGUGGAAUCUGUUCUUUUGACCUUCCCAGCAUCUUUCCCCUUCCCAGCAUCCUUUCCCCUUUCUUUUGGUGAUGUCGCCUGGAUUUUCUGUUGGGUAUGUGGUCCAGGGGUGGCUGACCUCACUUCCUGGUUCCAGCAUAAGAUCAUGACUGAGAGCUGGCCAAUGAGAAUAUUCCCUCGCCCCAGCCACAGAGUCAGAUUCCCGGGGAUGAACUUGUGAGUCAAAACAGGCUGGUGGGAACACACUUGGGGUGUUAGCUGGAGUUAUUGAAGCUUUCUUUCCCACUGGAGUCACUAGGUAGAUAGAAGGAAAGCUGAAGCCUUUAGCCACUGCUGUGGGUUGAAGUGUGUACCCCAAAAAGAUAUGUUCAAAUUCUAAUCCCCUGCACCUUUGGAGGUGGCCUUGUUUGGAAAAAGGGUCUUUGCAGAUGUAGGCAAGUGAAGAUGAAGCCAUCCUGGAUCAGGGUGGCUUGUGGCUUGUGUCCAAUGCCUUGUGUCCUUCUAAGAAGAGAGAAAUCGAGACACAGACACACACAGGGAAAAGGCCGAGUGAUGACAGCAGCAGAGAUGGGAGCGCGGCAGCUACAAGCUGAGGGAUGCCAAGCAUGGCUGGCACCACCCAGGAGCCUGGAGAGAGGGAGGGGACAGCCUCCUCCUUAGAGCCUCGAAACACCCUACCCACAUCCUGGCUUCAGACUUCCAGCCUGCACAACUGGGAGAGAAUCACUUUCUGCUGUGUUAAGCUACACUAGUUCAUGGUGAUUUGUUACAGCAGCUGCAGGAAAUGAACACAGACACCAAAUGGAGAUACUGUGUCUGAGAUUGAAGCCAGCACCGUGGAAUCAGAGCUGCCAGGAGGGAGACGUGGACUCUCGACCCUGUGGCCACACUUGGUUCCCCCAGCAGCUGAAGCACGAAGUCUACUGGACUUACUAGACUUUCCAGUUACCUGGACCAAUAUAUUCUCUGUUUUACUUAAGCUGUUUCGAUUGGAUUUCUGGCUAUUUCAACUGAGAGAGGCCUAACUCUCAGUUAUACAGAGACAAUGGAUGUAAAAUGCAUUGAAGGCCAGGCACAGUGGCUCGCGCCUGUAAUCCCAACACUUUGGAAAGCCAAGGCAGGAGGAUGGCUUG
rnacentral:lncRNA from 1 species